UACGUAGGGGGCAAGCGUUGUCCGGAAUUAUUGGGCGUAAAGAGCGCGUAGGCGGUCCGAUAAGUCGGCUGUGAAAGUCUAGGGCUCAACCCUGGAAAGCCGGCCGAUACUGUCGGACUAGAGUCCGGAAGAGGCGAGUGGAAUUCCCAGUGUAGCGGUGAAAUGCGUAGAUAUUGGGAAGAACACCUGAGGCGAAGGCGGGUUGCUGGGCUGACACUGACGCUGAGGCGCGAAAGCCAGGGGAGCGAACGGG
rnacentral:rRNA from 1 species